AAAUCGGCCCUUUUCAGGGCCAAAUGAUGUGCAAAGACUGAUUGAGU
rfam:Trichomalopsis sarcophagae strain Alberta scaffold13886, whole genome shotgun sequence.